AAUGCUGGGAUAAGAAGUUCUCCUAAACCAUGAAGCUCGAUGUCAGACUGGAGCUUAGGUUGGCUCCCCAAAAGAGUACUACAAUUCCCGUGGUGCCCUGCGGGCAGAGUGGAAGGGGCGGGACGGGCGAGGGCGCAAUGUGCUUGCGCAGAUCGAGGGCCGAAGGGAGGCGGGGGUAUCGAGGUCCGACUGCUGAGGAGUCUCCAUGUGACAGUGAGCGGCGUCCCAGCUCCAGGCGACGCCAGAUUCCAGUUUCCGAUCCCACGCCUCGUCCACUGAUCCUGUGCCUGCAGACAGCAGCAGGCCGGGGCCUCGUGGUCUUGGCCGGAGGACCCUGGCUCAGAGUUAAUAGUCUCCGCUAAGCAGGUGCGAGGGACCGCCGAGACCCCGGCAUCUCCAGAGAGGCAGGCGGCGCGGAGAGCGAGGCUUCUGUCAGCGCGGCUCUCCGAGUGCGGGAACAUGAACGGCUUCACUCCCGAGGACAUGAGCCGCGGCGGGGACGCGGCCGCCGCUGUGGCCGCCGUGGCCGCCGCUUCUGCCGCCGCCGCGUCAGCCGGGAACGGGGCUGGGGCUGGCGCCGGGGCCGAGGUGCCGGGUGCAGGGGCGGUCUCGGCGGCGGGGCCGCCGGGAGCGGCAGGGCCGGGCCCCGGGCAGCUGUGCUGUCUGCGCGAGGACGGCGAGCGGUGCGGCCGGGCGGCGGGCAACGCCAGCUUCAGCAAGAGGAUCCAGAAGAGCAUCUCCCAGAAGAAGGUGAAGAUCGAGUUGGAUAAGAGCGCAAGACAUCUUUACAUUUGUGAUUAUCAUAAAAACUUAAUUCAGAGCGUGCGAAACAGAAGAAAGAGAAAAGGGAGUGAUGAUGAUGGAGGAGAUUCACCUGUCCAAGAUAUUGACACUCCGGAGGUUGAUUUAUACCAACUACAGGUGAAUACGCUUAGGAGAUACAAAAGACACUUCAAACUCCCAACUAGACCGGGGCUUAAUAAAGCACAGCUUGUUGAGGUGAGCAAGGUACAACGAGAAUGAGUGGGAAGACUUUCCACAGGAGCAACAAAAAUCAAGAAGGCUUAAAGCCUUCUGGAGUGGCUGAGGGUAAGGUGUGGAGAGAAGCAGCUUCAAGUUUCAACCAUCACAGGUCCCCUCCCAGGAGAGAAGGAGGACCUGUUUUAUGUAGCCUGUUCCUAUUCCUGUUUCACCGUUGAAUAAGGCCGUCCACUGUGAGGCACCCUUGUGAAGACGGUCCAUCCAGAACACCGGUGUCAGCGUCUCUGCCUGCAAGAUGUCAGAGGAGAGGCCGUGGGGCACAAAGACCGACCUGACACAGUACACGCGGAGCGGGUCACCAGGAAAGAAGCACCAGACACUCCCCGGCCUCUUUUAUGCGUCCUGACCUGGAUUCUGGAUGAGAAUCACCCAUCCACAGGGCAGCUCAAUAUGAAAACUGGAACAGUCUCUUCGUAAGCAAACCCUCCCCCAAGAAGACACGAUCUUGUACUCAAGUGAGUAUUUAAAAUCAAUUUUAAAAGUUUUCAUGGCCAUUUGAGAGUUUUAAAAAAUCAGGCAAACCAGUUUUUGGAUUGAUUUGCCAGGUUAAUACAGUGCACUGGUUACCCUGGUAGCUUCUGCAAACCCCUGCUCAUGAGAGGCACUAACUCCUGGAGGUGGGGGUGGGAAAUGACUUUUGAAAGUGAAAAUCAUACUGACCUCUUACUACCCCUGCUUCUUCCUUUUCUUACCUGUUUCUUCCUUAAUUUCAACAAAAGCUUUCAUUUGUUAUAUGGAGAGUUUAUCAUGGAAGAAUCUUUCUUUCAAGGAGGAAAACAGAAAAAUAAAAUUU